rnacentral:rRNA from 1 species
AUUGAACGCUGGCGUCAGGCCUAACACAUGCAAGUCGAGCGAGCGCCGGACGGGUGAGUAAUGUAUGGGGACUGCCCGAUAGAGGGGGAUAACUACUGGAAACGGUAGCUAAUACCGCAUACUAUCGGAUAACCCAUAUGGGAGUAGCUAGUAGGUGAGGUAAUGGCUCACCUAGGCGACGAUCCCUAGCUGGUCUGAGAGGAUGAUCAGCCAGACUGGGACUGAGAACGGGCCCAGACUCCUAGGGAGGCAGCAGUGGGGAAGAUUGCACGAUUGGCUCACGCCGGCGGCAGCCAUGCCGCGUGCAUGAAGAAGGCCCUAGGGUUGGAAAGUACCUUCAGUCGGGAGCCGUUACCGACAGCAGAAGCACCGGCUAACUCCGUGCCAGCAGCCGCGGUAAUAC